UGUCGUCGUUGAUUUUCUUUUCAAUUUAGUAAUUUUAGGGUUGUGGUAAUCUAGGGUUUGUCAUUGAAGCGCGCACGGAUCCACCUCCACCACAACCACCUCCACCAUUAUUCAGCUUUGCAAAACCAGUCAUAAACUCAGCCCAUUCCUUCCUUCCUCUCUCCUUCUAACACUAUGAAUUCAUGAAAAUUAACUUCCAGUAGAUUCAAGCAUAAAUGAAGUUCUUAUUUUCGUAUUUGAUUGGGAGAAUAAAAGGUAUUGAGCAUUUGGGUGAGAUUGAAACUCCAGAAAAAUGGCGGAAUGUGGGACUGUGCCAUCGAAUUUUAAGCUGCAAUUGCAAACAAAUGGGUCUUGGUUCAAACCCCAGAAUUCAUACCCGUAUCAUAAGAGAGCAAAAACUUAGGGAGGUUGGUAAACUGGAACAAGAUCUUGUCUUUGGUGAUGCUGGAACUAAAGAAGUUAUCAAAAUUUUAAGCAUGCAUACGGAUUUAAGCUGUGAGAAUAAGUUGCGAUUAUUGAUGGUUUAUGCAGCUAUUUACCCCGAGAAAUUUGAGGGUGACAAAGGUUCACAGUUGAUGCAGGCAUUUGAUUGGCUUCUUUCUUUUCCUAUCCCUGACCAUAUACACUGCAACUACAGUCUCAGAUGUUUCGGAUUACUACCCUCUGCAACACUUAAUUUGUUGAGAUGCUCAAUAAAGCUGGUUUGCAUGAUGUUCACUCAACGCUUGUAUAUUGCCUCACAUCCUUUUCUAAGAUGCCAGAUUUCGGUACACUAAGUGGUGAAUUGAUGGCAUCCCUUCCGUAUAUCAAUUCACUGUCAUCUGUUUCUGGGUGGCAUAUUAUGGAACAUUUGUCAAACUGCUUGCCUGAGCGUUUCUCUCAUUUAAAUGAGACUAAUGAUCCUUCCUUGAAUCAUGAUUGUGAAAAAAAAAUUGUCAGACUGGAAAAAGGAGGUGCAAUUUAUAAGUCGGAAAGUGGAGGUGAUGCUAAUACAGAGAAGAAACUAAACUAAGUUAAUCAGGCUGAAAAUAGAAAGAAAUUAUCUGAGCAAGAGAGGUCGCGUAAAGUAGAAUUGAAGGAUGAAACCGCAAAACAGAAACAGUUGGCAUAAGAGAGGAAGAAGUUAGAGAAACAUAAGUUCAGUGAGAAAGACAUUGUGGCUGUGAUUGAUCCAAAGGUUCUGUCAGGUUCAGUUGGAGGACCACUGCUAACCAUGUUUAGCCAGAAAGAUCUCAGGUCUGAAAUUUUUGCAAAUCCCUUUGAAAAAUCAAUUGUUUUGAGAAUAGAGACUCCCAAAGACAUUUCUCAGGUAAAUGGAACUAUAACUUGUUGAUAGUUUAUGUUGAUGAAAGUUAAUUCAUAGAUGCAAGUUGACUGACUCUUUUCCCUUAUGAACCUAUUCCUUAUACUUCUUAUGUUUUAAGGUCCUAUCUUUUCAUUUUUUUCAUCGAGUAAAUCUGGUUUAUCUUUGAUGCACUAUCCCACUAGUCUUCUUUAAUUUCUUGCGUGAUUGUUUUUGUAGAGUGAUUUAGGGCUCUGAAUGUGAGUAAUGUUAAGAACCGUCUUUGGGAGAUUCUUAUUUCUGCUGUUUUCUGGAUAAUUUACUUGAAAAGGGAUGAUGGGUACUUCUUAGAUGUAUGAAUAUGUAAUAGACUAGGAUUUUUAGAUUAUAAGUUCUAUUGAACUAGAAAUUU